rnacentral:misc_RNA from 1 species
UUACUUGUAUACUUUAACUUUGAUUUUAUUUUUAUGUUUUUUAAAUAUUGGUGUUUUUGAAUGUGUUGUUUAAAUAACAUAAAAAAUAAAAUAUAUAUUGACAUGUAUUAAACAAAGAUAUAUAUUAUUUUAUGUUGUAUAAAUAAAUUGGCAAAAUAGAGAUGGAAGAUAAAAAUAUGGUCAAAGUAAUAAGAGUCUAUGGUGAAUGCCUAGGAA